UACGUAGGGCGCAAGCGUUAUCCGGAAUUAUUGGGCGUAAAGAGCUCGUAGGCGGUUUGUCGCGUCUGCUGUGAAAGACCGGGGCUCAACUCCGGUUCUGCAGUGGGUACGGGCAGACUAGAGUGCAGUAGGGGAGACUGGAAUUCCUGGUGUAGCGGUGAAAUGCGCAGAUAUCAGGAGGAACACCGAUGCGAAGGCAGGUCUCUGGGCUGUAACUGACGCUGAGGAGCGAAAGCGUGGGGAGCAAACAGG
rnacentral:rRNA from 1 species